GACCAUUAUCCCCAUUCUUCCAGACACUCAGGUGCUGCAGUGAUCCUCAAAGGGCAAGCCGCUUGCUUUGGCACACAGGCAAACACAGACGCGGGAAGUUGCUUUCAAGCUAUAUCCGCAAGCCCUGGGAUGAUGUAGAGGCCGCAGAAUCUCAUUGUUCCUCAGGUUGCAGGCUGCCAAGAACACUCUCAACGUGAGGAAGCAGGCUGCUCCAGACGCAGCUCUGAGAAGCCUUGCUGUGGAUAACUUUCAGAAAGUGAAGGGCACACAACAAAGCCUCCAACACUUCUGCCCUGACCCUAGGCAGCAGCAACAACUCAUGCUCUGAUGCUGAAAGUGGUACCCAACAGAGCCGAGACUUGUUGAGUUGUCUCAUGCUAGCCUGGAUCUAUCAUGUUCUACCUUGAUUUACCUCACCUCAUAAAUGGGCACAGGGCUCGUACCUCAUCACCUCUUGGGACCGACUAGGGGCGUAAGGCAACUGGUAGUCAUUGAGGGGAAACGAGAGCACGUCAUCCUGGGGCCCUGUGUGCUGGCAGCAUCCCUUCACUUGGCUGAGAGAACAGCUCCCUCUGGGUUACAGAGGUGUGGAAAUGACGGUCACACACUAAUGUCCAGGAGGAAGGGGCUGUUGCCACGCCAGGGUGGAGAUUCUGAAUGUAGCCCUUGGUGGCCAGUCAUCUGGAACUACUUCCUCCUCUGGAAGAGCCACUUGGACCCUGCGCCCUGAUGUGUGUCCUGACUGCACUCGUCUCAGAGGCUGACGCACAGAUAAAUCACUUUGAACUUUCAGAUGAAAGGUGCUCCGUAAACCAGAGGGCUCAUCAACUGUAAUUGUUACGGUAAUUAUUUUAAUGAUGAUAAUGGGAGAAUGGGGGUGGGGCAGGAAGGAAACCUCCCACCUUGAGACAAAGAAAAUCUCUUCCAGUCAAACCUGGGCCUCACUUCCUUCUGCCCCUAUGCAGUCUUCAUCCCUCUUGAACAGCCAAUCCCUGGGAUGAAAUAUUAUUUACUGCUUUCUUUCCCAAUAAAACAAUUAUGUGUUCCAGGGUUCCCCUCCCACUCACUCUCGGGUGUCGGGCUUGGCCCUGACAGCUCAGCCAUGAACUGUUUACAUGGCUCUCUCACCCGCCCAGAACCUGGUUCAGCUCCACUGACACUGAAGUCAGGAGCGUUCUCUGUGUGUGAGGAAUCAAUUUCUUCCGCUGACACUCCAUUACUGGCCUUCACAGCUUCAGAUUCCAGAUGGAAAGAAAAGGUGGUGGUGGAGACCCAAAGAGGGUGGUGAGCGUGUGUGUUUGUGCAUGGGGGUGUGCCUGCGGGGGGGGGGGGUUUACGGUGUGUGGUGUAUAUGGUCUAUGUGUGCUGUGUGUGUUGUAUGUGUGCAUGUGAGAAUGUAUGUGUGGUGUAUGUGUGUAUGUGCAUAGUGUGUGGUGUGAGUGUGUAUGUGUGGGAGAGAGAGAGAGAGAGAGCGAGAGCAUGUGUGUGCCUGUGUAAGGUGUAUGUGGUAUGGGUAUGAUGUGUAUAUGUGUGGUGUGUGUGCCUGUGUGGCAUAUGUGUGUGUAUGAUGUGUGUAUAUUGUGUGAAGAUGUGUGGUGCAUAUGUAUGGGUAUGGUGUGUGUAUGUGUGGUGUGUGAGCCUAUAUGGUGUGCAUGGUGUGUGUGUGUAUGUGUGUAUUUGUGUGUGAGGGGGAGUUCAGCGGAGUAGAAGGCAGAAGGAGACUACUGACUGAAUCUGGUUUCCAGCUUGUCCUUUAAGACCUAGAAAGACUUCUCUUUCCUCGAGUGCCUUGCACCAUCCACAAGUGACCAAGCAGCAGGAAGAGGCUGAGCAAGGCUAUAAAAAGAGGGCAGUGUCUAAAGGAGUCAGGCCAGCAUUGACAUAGGCACACAGAAGCAGUGUAUGGUGUGCAGGGUGUGCUCUUCCAAGGCCUCAGUAUUUCUUUCUGGUCAGUGGGACUAAUAUCGUUGCUGGGUGCAGAGCUUGCUCUGGGAGGUAAACGUGGACAAUAUCUGAUGUCUCUGGGAACACCAUCGGUGUUUGCUGUUGUCUUACUGAUCAUCUUCCCCCACGACCGUACGUCUGGGCCUCUGACAUACAGAGCUGAAAAAGUCAGACAACUGCCGAGAUGCCAAGUACAAAGCCACGAAGACAGGGCAUUAAGGAAUCGUGCGUUUUUUCUUUUAUCAUGGGAUCCCCUCAAACCUAAGUCAAACCUGGAUCUAUUUCUUUCUCCUUUUUCUUAGUUUCUUAAAAUUUAAUUUUGACCCGGCUAACUUUUUUUUUCAUGAAUUUUUCCUUCUAGGAAAAAAUUUGAUGAUGUAAAUUGAAUACAGCCAUUUAUUCUGCAAUCAACUGGGGUGGGUUGUGAGCCAAAAGGUCUCCUAAAGAAGGGUGAUUAUGAAGUUCUUUUUCUCCUCUGAAAGACAAGACAAGGCCUGUGAGUGCAUGGUGACUUAUCUAGGCAGGAAUAGAAAAAUGGAAUUAAGUUAUCUCUUGAGGGUCUCCCAUCAAGGUCUACAUUCCUUACUUCUAAAACAAACAAAAAGAACAGAUUUUUUCCCCCUAUGGGACUCAUGGCCACAGGAAAACACAAAUCCCUCUAUAGAGAAGUCUGAGGUCUUGACGUGCUAUCUUCCUUCCCUGCCUUACCGCCUCCACACCUUUAUCUGCUCCCUGUCCCUCUGAAUUUCUUGAGACAGCCAGCGCUGUAAUUAGAUGAGAGAAUUUCACGGAGUUACAUGGGGCGAGGUGCUGCUCCUCUGGGAUCAACAGCUUUCAAGAAAGUGCCAAGGUUGAGAGGCAGAGCAAGGGGGAUCGCGCAUGACAAAAUCUCAAGUGAUUUUCUCAAUCAGAAGAUAAAACACAUUGUUAAGAAAGACAGCCAAAGUGAAGAUCGCUUGCAGGGCGAGAGUUAGGAUUGCAACAUAGAAUGUUUAAAAACAAACAGCCAGAAAUAACUGUUGUCCCAACUGCUCUCUAACCUUGGCGAGAGAAGGAGAACAGUCUGUGUGUUGCUGUUUUCCCCUUCUUGGGUGAGCUGAAGUUGCCGGGCAGAGGGAGUCCUUGGCCAAGGUUGUGGCGGACGGACGGGUCAGCUGGUAGCUGGGCCCCGGCUAACGGGGUUAGUCCCAUUAUUGCACCAUGCUCCCAGAGGUGGGUCUGUUUCUGUCAUUAGGAGAGUUGUUGCAAUAUAGAAAAAUAUUAAUGCUCGCUGGAGCCCCAGAGAAUGGGAACAUUUCGGUGGUGGGUAGGCAGUAAAUCUGUCACAAUGUCAUGAGUAAUCAACCCAAGGGUCUCUCCUGAGCCAGCAUGUGGCAUGCUCUUGCACCACAGAGACUGGCUCUGUUCUGACUUCAGGCAACCCCUACUGAAGCCACAUCUCCAAAUGCGUAUGUGGUUUCUCUCUCAAAGAAAAGAAGAGAGAUCGAAAGUCUGGGUAAGACCACGCUGAUGAGGACUCAAUCCGGCUUGUUACCUGGACUUUCCCAGAGCAAGGCACACUCUCGGGCAUUGCACUAAGGACAUCUGGACACAGGGAACAUUGAAGAGAGACACUACAACAGCAGGGAGGGUGGGGCGCAGAGGCCCCAUAAUCUCAGCCUUUCCUGCUUCCUGACCUAGGUCUCUCUCCUGAGGAGGAGGUGGAAGUGGCCUGGCCAGGAAGUAGAGUUAAGUAAUAUCAUCAGGCACCUUCUGCCAGGAAGAGGGUUUAUAGCAACAAGUCACAAGGGCAGCCUUCUUUUGCUCCUGCCCUUACAAUCUUCACAGUGAAGGAAAUGGGGGUCAGAGAUGUUGAUGAUUGUGCUUCCCAGAGCGACCGCCUGCCCCUCUUCAGGUUGUUCAGUGUGCCACCCUCUGCUGGGGCCAUUAGACCUACACCCUCCCCCCUGCCUAGAAGACUGCUCUAGGGUCAGUAUAGGAAACACCUCUUCCAGGGCGCCUCCUUGCGUCUUGCAGCCUUGGCCUGGAUCUGGGCACUGUGGACUCAUAUACCAGGUUCCCAUCAUGCCACAGUCAUAACAUGUAGCGUAGGGGAGGGAAGGCAGACUCCCUAAGAGUAAAGAAUGCAGAUUGAAAAGUAGGGUUCAAAUCCCUCCCCAGCUCCUUCAGAGGGCCGGGUCUAAGGCCACUUGCUUGAGCCUUGCGAAGCUAUGUUUCUUCACUGCAAGCAGGAAAGAAGGUAGCCACUUCAUGUGCCUUCCUGUCACUAUUAAUUGGGACAGAGACUGUGAAGUGCCAAUCCGUGGCCAGGCUCAGAAGUUCUAUGCCAGCUGGGGCAACAUGACCUCAUCACCUCCUACUCUGGAAUCCCAAGGUCUACCAUGUCAAAGGGUAUGGUAUACCAACCUCUAUAUUUCAAAAACGGGCCCUCAAGCUCGUACUAAGUAGGUACUUGUUCAGAACUUCCUGGGCAUAGAGUGAAUGGCCUGGGUCAUUUUGUUGGUGACAGACACAAGUUAGAGCAGUUAGCAACAUUCAUAGCCUAGAUUUUAUGAUCUUUUUGUAAUCUCUGAUGGGAGAAUGGGAAAAACAGCCCUGCCUGCCUACCAACGCCGUUCAUACUACACUUACCUCUGCCCUGGUGCAAUCAAUGGUAAAAUAUCAAUAAAUCAAGCGUUGGCACACAACCACUCCGGUUCCUCCAGGGCUACGUGUUGCAGUUCAGAGAUGAAGUAGGAGGCCUGUGCCACUGGAGAGCUUGCCCACUCAGACCAAGAGCUAAGGUGGUUUGGAGUAGGGGCCAAUAAAAGACAAGAAGAUGGAGUGAGGAGCCCAGGGGAAGAGUGGGCAGGGAAGGAGGGACAAUACGUGCAGUCAGAGCUCAGGUGUCCCCACAGAGGGAAGGCUGUGUUCGGUUCCUGGAGGUGUUGGCUGUUUACUGGGCAUGGGAAACACUAAUUGUUCAGCGGGGAGGGACCAGACUAUUGAGAUCUGGUUUCUUUUCUCUGUUUAGCAUAUUGUUAAUUUAUUAGGCCAGGAAUCUGCUAUUUGUUUUAAAAUAUGGUCUCCUACAGACACAUCUUCUAAGACUUAGAGGGUCCCUCAGCAGGUAAGUAAACACAGGAGCACCUUGUUUAGCUAGGACACUUGGCCAGACGUCAAAUACCCACACCCAGAAUGUAGCACACUGGGGAGAGCAGAAGCCUCGAGAGCUAUGGGUGCUGUUUUGUGCUUGGUCAGGGUGGAGUCAACUUUACUCCAAUGUAACCUUGGCCGAAUGAAGCAAAUGAGAAAUGUUGAUCUUUUGAAUUUGCACUGGCUUGCAAGAUCUUGAAAUCUUGAACCCCAGGACCUAAUUUUUAACACAGACAGCAAAGAUUUUCUAUAGCAAAUUUGAUACAUAGGAAAAAAUAAAUAAAAGUCAGAAGAGGAAAGCUGCAGGAGAAAGGCUCCUCAUAAGAAGAAGUGAUGGCAAGUGUGCCAGGAGAAGGGCCGAGAGAUGGCUCAGCAGUUCAGAGCAGGCCGCUCUUCCAGACAUCCUGAGUUCAGUUCCCAGCAACCACAUGGUGGCUCACAACCAUCUAUAAGAGGAUCUGAUGCCCUCUCCUGGCCUGCGGGUACAUAUGUAGAGCUUCUCAUAAAUAAAAUAUAAACAAAUAAAAAAGUUCAAAAAGAAAAAUACUGGGAUAAAAUAGUCUCAAAUUUCCCAUGAUGCAGUGCAAAGGCAUUUAACAUGCCUGUUACCUUACUGUGAUGACAUCAACAAGAGACAAGAAAGCAGUUGUCAUGGUUUUGAGAAAGGGGUAAACUGAUGACUUAAAGUUUAAAAGCUCAACAAGAACCCCACUGUGGACUGAAGAGGUGGCUCAGGGUUCAAGGGCACACACUGCUCUUGAAGAGGCCAUGAGUUCUGCUCACAGCACCAACAUCAGGGAGUUCACGAUGGGGUCUUGUGCCCUCUCCUGGCCUCUGCCAGUACUGCACUCAAGUGCUCACAUCCCUAAGUGUGAGUCACAUCCAAAGAGGACAUUACUUGGACUCCAUUGCUUAGGAAGAAGCAAGCAAUCACUAUUUUGAAUUGUCAAGAAUGAAAAAUUACUCUUCUUAACUGUUGGCUUUAAGAAAACAGGGAAGUGUGGCAUGUAAUUUAAGACAUUCUGGGACUUUUCACCAAGGAACUCCACCCAGAAAACCACCGUUCCUCAACAGUGCUCAUUUUGAUAUGAAUGAGGUCAUUUUGUUCUGAGUCUAUGCAGACUUACAUGUGAGGCCACUGGCCUAAGAAAUGUACUUUCAUGGCUUCCUAGUGGCUUUAGAACUUCCUAAAAAUAUUUUCAAGAUACCUAUUUGGUAAGUACUUGUUCUUUCAAGGAACUAGCUCUUUAGUUAACUCUGGUUGAGCCUCUGCAAUGGUGUGUGUGUGUAUGUGUGUGUGUGUGUGUGUGCAUGCGUGUGCAUGCCUGCUUGAAGAUUGGUGCUUGUAGGAUGACAUGUUGGUAAGUGCUUUAAAAAAUACAUCCAGUUCAAACUUUAGAAAUGGAAAAAUACUCAGCCUUGUGUGUGUGUUUCUAAAACCAUAACAUUGAACCCUCUGGCUGAUGACUCAAGCAAUUGGCCUCUCUGUCUGCCGAGGCAGCAGCCUCCUGGUAUCUUCUGCUCCCAGGGGGGAUGGAUUGGAUUCUCUCUUGUUUGCCCAGACAGCCCUGAGUCCUGUCUUUCUGUCCCUUGACACAGGCAGCUGGCAAUGCCACAGCAGCCUUUGCUUCUGCCUGUGGCUGUUACCAGGUCCCCAGGACAGCAUGCUGGUGCUCCGGGUUUGGCUCUCUGUGGAUACCCCGAGGGAGGAGGCAGGCAAAGCUAACAGAGAGGGUGGCUUUGGAUUGCACCGGCACAGAACGGCUGACGCUUGUGAGCGAAAUUUUCCGAGCAGACAGCAAGCUUCGGUGGAACAAAGUGAACAACUAGUGGUCAGGAAAAGAUCUGUCUGGGGUUUGCUCAGUAACAGUCUUGACAUUUGGGGUAGAGACUCCAUACUACAGAAAGACAAAGGUUUAGGUACCACACACCAGAAUAAUCCUUCCUGUCAGGGCCCUGGUCUUUGGUCAAAGGGCAAUUUCUAUAGUUAACUGCGUGAACGGAAGGCAGAAGAAAAAACAUGGGCAGUCAUGAAGGCCUUCAUUUCCCCUUUCUGCAAAGAGCUAUUGCCCAGCUGCAGAAGGGCAAUGGAGGCAGAUUUCUGUUUGGUGAGGGAGCUACUGCUUCAAUAUUGAGGUAGACAAUUGAACAUGUCCUCAAGAUGCAAAGAAUGGUAGGUUGAUAUCUUCUGAUAGCGAAUGCUAUCAGGAACUCUUCGGAGGAAAAAAAAUGCAGUGUCCAGUGUCGGGGGAGGAGUCAAGGAGUGUGACGUGAAGUGCUCUUCCCCAGGAGAGCAGAGGAAGGCGCUGGGAGGGGAAAGCCCCUUAUUCUGCGUGCAAAUGAUCACGAGUGAAAGACUGAGACCAGAUAUGGCCUUCUGACUAAGAGAACUAACGAGAGAGACAGACUUUGGGAAGUGGAGAAGUGAGGGGGGGGGACUGAGAGCAAGACUAAGUGGAAGAAGCUUAACCCUAGAGGAGCCUUGCAGACAAUUUGGCACUGGGGGAAGAGAUUCCAGAAAGAGCUUUUUCUGACCUCUUCGACCUUUUAGGUUGAAGCCAGCAGCACGGAUGGGGAGAGCAGAGGAAAACAGGAAGCUGCCUAGGAAGGCAGAGAAGCUGGGAGAUAGCCUGUAACUAGCCUGUUUCCUCUCUUCAGGCUCCGGCAAGGGUGAGGUUUGUGUCCCUUCUGCUGACCAAGGCUCCACACCAGGCUCUCCCCACCCUGGGGGAUGGUCCUGGGGCUGGAGUGUGCUUCCUUAGUCUUUCAGUCUUUCCAAUGUAUUUCGAGCUUUGUUCCUUGAUAUCUGGGCCCCAACCGUCUUAAAAAACCGGCCCUUUCCCUCUGUCAUCGUGAAUAUCCAUAAAAUAGUCUCUUAGCAAUUUCCCCCAGAGAUUCUGCUGGUGUCAGCAGGACCGAACUUGGCUCUCCAUCCAGAGAGAUGCUUAGUCAAAUUUCUCAGCGCUCCUUCUCAGGCACCCUGUACCCUAUGAUUCAGCUGGUGCCAGCCUUCUGUAGCCUAGCCAAAGGUUCCCAGAACCAAAAUACCUUUUCCAGAAACUGUACUAACCCCAAGUCUUUGUAAAGUCCACUGUUAGGGAAGUGGGAGCCCAGGGACGCUGAGUCAAUGUGUCCGGCGUGUCUGUGUAACACAGACACAGGGGAAUUUACAUGCUGUGUCACCCAGGCAGCCAGCCUGGCCCUGGAAUUAGAAACCCCAUCCCAUCCUGUGACUCUUGAUCACAUGCAGCCUCCAUCCGGGAAACUUUUGGUUUUCAACAGGGACUACCUCCUGUGAGAAGGAAACCAUUCUGUAGGUGCAAAGUGGUCCUGGGAGGGUAAUAAGGACAACAGUUCACCAGGCCUAGAGUUUAGAGCUAGUUACAGACAGGCCUAGUUUCCUAAGGAGGAAGUGCUGGCCUGGACCGAAGCCUGUUCUGCAAUGGAGGCCAGGAGUGUCGCCUGCUCUCUUAUACCUUGCUCUCUUAUACCCCACAAGUUGUCCCUUUAUUAAUCAUUCAGGACUCACAAGUUCUUGGUCACAGUAAAGAAUGCUUAUCCAAAAAGUAAACACAGAACACUUACUGGGGCUUAUGGUACAAAGACCAAAACUGUCACUGGUACCUUCUCUCACCUUUGAUGACGACUCUGUCAUCUCUGUUCUCCGCAUGACUACCCUGCUUGCUCCCCGCCCACGCCCCACAGCACAGCGUCUCCAAAGAUGAUAUCCUUUGCUAAGAUCAUCUGAGUCUCCUUGAGUGGCUGACCACUCUUGUGUUUUUGUGCGUUGGUGUUAAAACAGAGAUCAUGAUGACACUGACUUCCCAGGGCCACAGUGAGGACCGAGCGGCUUAGUUAUUUGUAAAGCAAUUGGAACUAUGUUUGUAGAACAAAUCCAUACCCACAUCUCUGAUAGUAACCUGGGCAGUGUAGACAUCAAGAAUCAAUUGGAGUCUCAAACCUGCCUCCAUCAAGUCAGUAUUUCUUACUCUUUUUAAGUAACGGGGAGCCCCUUCAGAAGCCAAUCCCCAAUGCUGGAUAUAUUGAGGACCAGCUACUAUUUUAUCUGGGAAGCUGGCAGGGCUCCCUAAUAAGGCAACGUUUGAAAUGCAGGAGCUCUCCAAGGAAACGUAAAUCAUAGAGCCAGUAAGUAGGAUUUUGUAGCCCACUUCCCGCCCCCAUGGAAACUCUCUCCACUGCCAACUUCUCCUUACAGGGCACCACUGUUUUCUGUACCUUAUUCCACAAAGUUUUCACAAUACCAUAGAAUCAGCUCCACCCUAUUUCUCCUAAAAGGGAAUGUCAUCUUUA